GAUGAACGCUGGCGGCGUGCCUAAUACAUGCAAGUCGAGCGAACAGACGAGGAGCUUGCUCUCUGACGUUAGCGGCGGACGGGUGAGUAACACGUGGAUAACCUACCUAUAAGACUGGGAUAACUUCGGGAAACCGGAGCUAAUACCGGAUAAUAUAUUGAACCGCAUGGUUCAAUAGUGAAAGACGGUUUUGCUGUCACUUAUAGCUGGAUCCGCGCCGCAUUAACUAGUUGGUAAGGUAACGGCUUACCAAGGCAACGAUGCGUAGCCGACCUGAGAGGGUGAUCGGCCACACUGGAACUGAGACACGGUCCAGACUCCUACGGGAGGCAGCAGUAGGGAAUCUUCCGCAAUGGGCGAAAGCCUGACGGAGCAACGCCGCGUGAGUGAUGAAGGUCUUCGGAUCGUAAAACUCUGUUAUUAGGGAAGAACAAAUGUGUAAGUAACUAUGCACGUCUUGACGGUACCUAAUCAGAAAGCCACGGCUAACUACGUG
rnacentral:rRNA from 1 species